rfam:Bacteroidetes bacterium GWF2_33_16 gwf2_scaffold_224, whole genome shotgun sequence.
AAGUGGCACGCGAGCUGGGUUCAGAACGUCGUGAGACAGUUCGGUCCCUAUCUGUUGUGGGCGUUGGAAAUUUGAGAGGCCCUGCUUCUAGUACGAGAGGACCGGAGCGGACAUACCUCUAGUGUAUCUGUUGUGGCGCCAGCUGCAUUGCAGAGUAGCUACGUAUGGAAGAGAUAAGUGCUGAAAGCAUCUAAGCACGAAGCUCGCCUCAAGAUGAGAUUUCCCUUAAGGGUCGUUGAAGACUACGACGUUGAUAGGUUGCAAGUGUAAAGGCAGUAAUGUCAAAGCUGAGCAAUACUAAUUACCCGUGAGCUUCUUUCGU